rnacentral:lncRNA from 1 species
AUACAAUGCUUGGCCAAUCUAGACUUCUUGGAUCCAUAUCCAAAAGAGGUUUCUUGGAUAGUCCAACUGCCAGUCUCUGAUGAGAACACGCGCAAUCUUUGGGGGGGCUUGGGCUCUGAAUAAUCAAAGCAAACAACUCUGUAGUGAGGUGAUUUGAAAGGAUCAAAUGCCAGGGAUGCAGAACAUAUGUUUUCAAGCGUAAAAUCUCUAGGAAUCACCACACACUGUUUUGUCACAGGAUUGCACACAUAGUACUGCGGAAUAGAACCCUCAACAAACAAAAGCAAACCAUUGCAACAAUCAAGGAAAUCACCCCGGGCAGGUUCAAAAGGCAACAGCGAAGAAUAGGAUUUGACAAAUUCAUGUGGUUCCGGUGCAACUGCUGGAGUCAUGGCGCAGGGGAUAUAAUCAAUGUAUGUUUUCCUGCUACUGACCCUCAACGCAUGGUAAAUAAAGCCAUGAAGAGGUGAGGAAGCUGAGAUUUUUGGAACACAAGCAUCAGUAAUCAGAUUGUUCCAACAUUUGCAAACACUUUUAAGUCUAAUGAGAUGCUUGCCAUCAGUAACCCGACAGAGGAUUUCAACCAGCACAUCAUCUGGUAAACUUGAACAAAGAAAACUAGCACAGCUGCAGUUCUUGCUCUCACCUGCUUUUCCAUCUAAAGAGGUAGCCAUCAGUCCCCCUCUGCAAAGGGAAAACAAAAAAGAAGAAGAAAUUAGCCCCGUGACUACUCUUACCGUUUCUGACUUAUCAGAUGCAAUUUGGGAAUCCAUCCUCUUCAGAAAUAAUUAACAUAGUCCUCCUCUUUGCCAAAAAAAAAAUAUAUAUAUAUAUAUAUAUAUAUAUAUAUAUAUAUAUAUAUAUAGUAACUUGUUUCAGAGAUUUAAAUUAGGGUUUUCAUGAUUGAAAACAAAAAAUGCUGAAAAUCACAAAAUUAAAAACACUAACAUUACCUAACAUGGAAAAUAAAACAGCAGAAUUAAUUAAAUAUACAAAACGAUGGUAGAGAUAAAUAGUUUUUUAAAUUAAUUAAGGAAACCAAAACUUGAUCAGCAGAAAACAAUAGAUAACUCAUUGCACUUAAUCAAUUUGACAAGCAAAGGGAAACCAAGAGGAAAAGAAAAGAAAUUAGCCACAUCCUGUUUCUGACUUAUCAGAUGCAAUUUGAGAAUCCAUCCUCUUCAAAAACAAUUAACACCGCAAAAAUCCCUCCUCUUCGCCAGAAAAAAACCUAAAGUAUAACUUUUGAGAUCAGAAGGUGAUAAUUUAUUUCAGAGAUUUAAAAUAGGUUUUUCAUUCAUGAUUGAAAACAAAAGCGUGCUGAAAAUCACAAAACGAAAAACACAACGUUAAUAAAUAUACAAAACGAUGGUAGAGAUGAAUAAUUUUCUAAAUUAAUUGAAGAAACCAAAAAAAAAUGAUCAGCAGAAAAUAAUAGCAAUAGAUAACUUAUUGCAAAAAUUUAGGGUAAACAAGGUAAAUUAGCUUACUGUAUUGUCUCUCUCUGAUUUAUCAGAUGCAUGCAGUUGUCGGAUCACCAGUAACUAAAAAUAAUAUAAAUAUAAUUAAGAAGGUAAAUAAGAUCACAAAAGAAAACUUAGUUUGCAAGAAAUUAGGGUUUCAAGUGAUUUCUCGUCUAUUUAAACCUUUUUUGAUGCCACCAGCCCAUCUAGAGAAAUUGCUAAUAAGGGCUCAACUAUUGGGUCUUAGUUCGAUUAAGAUCUGGGCUAAUAAGUUGUGCUCAAUUAAAAAAAAUUAACUACCCAUAUUUCUUAAACCAUCUUAGAUAUUUUUUUAAAACAAAAAAAAAAGUAGAAAAAUAGAAAAUUCUAAUAACUUUUAAAAAUAAUUUCAGAGAGAAAAAUAGGGUAAAGUUGUGAGAUUUUCAAAAACACUGAAUUAUCCAAAAUUUUAAAAGAUAAUAAAUAAUUCAUGGAUGUAUAAGUAAUUUGUUGUUAGAUAGGAAAAGAAAGAAGAUGUAUUGGGUUAAAAAGAUAUUUAAAUUAUUUUUUAUUUUAAUUUUAUAAGAUUUAAAUUGCAAAAUAAAACAGAUAAUUUUUUUAAAAAUAAAAAUCAUCAAAUUUUGCUAUUUUUACCCACACUUGUCGUUAUGAAAAGUGACGCAAAUCCUCAAAUAAGCCGAAUACAUACAUUCUCAACCACCAAUAUAUAUAAGUUUUUUGUUCUUGCUAGUUAGAGCUAGUUAAUUUUUAAAAAAUAUAUCAAAUUAGUAUAAAAAAUAUAAUUUAAUCUUGAUUAGCAAUAUAUUUUAAUCACUAUUCAAUUUUCAAUGGUUUUAAAAUGAUAUUGUAGAUUUUUAUGAUGAUGUUACUACUUUUUUUAAUUGCUAUGUACCUACUACAAAAACAAACUCAUUGAUAUUUAAUUAAGAAAAUACUUUUAAAUUUUUAUUUUAAUAUCAUGAUGGGUUUUUGUUUAAAAAAUAAUAUUUGCAGUUAAAAAUGCACUUUUUCACUAAAACAAUUUGAGAGAUGCAUUGACAAAAAAAAAAAAAAAGGUUUAGAUUGAAGAAAUAUAUUUUUCUACUUAUUUUAAACAAUUUGAAUUCCUAAAGAAAACCUCUAUUUCUAUUGUCAUUGUCUUUUAUUAUAAAAAUAUGGGCUUGGUGAAGAAAUAUGAUGUUGUUUUUUAAAAUAUCAAUAUUUUUUUAUGUUUAUAGAUUAUUAUGUAUUAAUCUGAUAUAUAGAAUUAAUUUCUACUAUGGUUUGCUCACUAAUAUUGAAUAAAAAUAGAAUACACAUGUAUAAUUUUUAUAUUUUCCAUCCUGAAUUGUUUAUAUUUUUUUUCAAACUCAUUUUUUAUGCUAUCAUGGAUACAUGUUUGAUUUAUGCAUUUUUAAUUGAAGAUGCACUAUUUUCUUUUUAUGUCAAAUUGAUAUAUUUCAUCGAUUUUUUUAAUCUAUUGCUAUUGUUUUUGUUCAUUAAUCCAUGUUGUUAUUAAAAAAAAAAACCUAUAGAUGUAAAAACAAAAAAUACAAGAAUAAUAAAAUAUAAUUUAGACAAGAAAAUACAUUUAUUUACUGUCAUUCUUGUAAAUGUAUAUCUCUACAAUUGAUUAACUAAAUAAAAAUAUGUUUUAUAAAGCAAGAUUAUUAAACCCCGUUAGUGUCAUAACCUAUACCAUGGGCUAGGUUGGUUUACCUAGUUUGAAAGAGGUUAGCAAAAAAAAUCAUAAUUUUAUGUCUUUUUUUAUAAAAACAAUGUUAAAUAAGUGUUGUUUUACAAUAUUUUUUCUUAAAAAAUUCAAGAAGGUUUUUACCGAUUAUUGGGUGCAUCCACCAAGUUACUUGAGUUAUAUUUAAUCAGCUUCCAAAAAAUUUAUUUUGAAACUCGAUUUAAUACAAAAAUUAGAUUGAUAAGUCACUAUAUUAGAUCUUGUUUGUUUUUGUAUUUCAAAAGUGUUUUUAAAAAAAAUUAAAUUUUUUAAUUUUUUUCUUUACUUCAAAUAAUUUUUUGAUGUUUUCAAAUCAUUUUGGUGCGCUAAUAUCAAAAAUAAUUUUUAAAAAUAAUUUUUGUCAUUAGCGUAUUAAAAUGAUAUGAAAAUAUAAAAAAAUUAAUUUGAAAUAAAAAAAUAAAAAAAAUUAAAUUUUUUAAAAAUAUUUUAAAAAUGUAAAAAUAAAAUCCUCCUCUUUUAUUUUAUUUUAUUUUUUGCUUAAGUUUUACAAAUCAUAAACUUGUUACACAUGCAAGAAGUAUGAGAGACUUUUGUGAUUUCAUUUUGAAAAAGGAAGGUGGGAAAGGCAGACAGAAUUAUGGAUAUACUCAAGGAAAGGCCAAGGGGCAGCAGGGCCCCAAACAUUAAUCAUGACCGUUACCCAAUAAAAUCACCACCACGCUCAACUUCCUGAUGACGGUAGGUUGUGGAUACCCUAAUUCUAGUCCUACCUCACGGGAUCCAUCCCUUCUGUCCCCACAACUUCUUCUUCUUUUUUUUUUUUUUAAGAUUUUAAAGCCAUAAACAGCUUUAUAGCCGUCGAGGCUGAAAUCCUCUCCAUCUUUGUCAAAGAGAACAAAAAGGUGAAAAAUUUGUCUCAAUCCCUGCCCUAAUCUUGUCACCUAAACCUUCUUUACUCGGUUUCAAAUCUUCUUCUGCUUUCUUCUCCACUUCAAAUCUUGAAGACCCAAGUCUAGAGGGGCUGAAAAGAUGAAAGGAAUAAUGAAAGGGAAGUUGAUGAAGAAGCUGUUGUCAAUGAAGCCAACAGGGUACUUGAAGGAAACUAGAGUUCUCCACGUGAAUGCAGCAGAUGGGUUCAUUGAGACAUUGAUAACGAAGCCUAGUCUCGAAGCUCAGGUUGAAACCCCAGAGUUGAUGUUUUCAAGGUGGCGUAAAUGUUUGUAGGGCUGUUAGAAAUUUGAGAUUUUAAGGGUAUUGUUACCGUGAUGUAGAGAAGAUGUUUUGGACAGAGUUAGUACUCAGUACGCAGUAUGAAAGAUCAGAGAAAUGAAUCUUCUCAAUGAGACGAUCUCCUUGUAGGGCAGGGAAGGUGAACCCCAGAGAUCUCUAGAGAGAAUAGCUUGUGACCGCAGUAGACAGAGUUGUGAUGGAAAUGGAUGAAUGAAUGUUAUGUGUUUUCAUCAUAUCCAUUAAAUGUUUAAACUCUAAUCUACUGAUAUUUGUAACUGGCUUUGUAACAUGUUGUUUUGGAUUGGAUUGAGUAGCUUUGGUAAAGGUGAUUGGAAAAGCAUCUCAAGAAAUGUGGUCAUUACCAGAAAAAGUAGCUUGACAUACCCAGAAGCACUUCCUUCACACGCCAGAAUUCUGUGAAGAAAGAGAGGAAAUAAGCAUUGCUUUUGUAAUUGUAAAACCAUCCCACAUCGAGAACAAAAAAGAAUUAUCAGGUCAGUCUUGUUUAUAAAUAGGGAUCCGCAACCCCCCGUGUCUCCUUAUUCAGAGACAAAGCCAAUAGCAGCGCACUAGAGGUAAAUCUCUCUACUAGGUUCUUCAUUUAAUUACCCUGCUUUCAAUGCCUUAACACUACUUGGAGAAGAAGGCAAAUUAAUUAGAACAGGAUGACAAUUUGUUUUUAUAUUUGGUUGUUAUGAUCUGCUAGCUACUUGUUUGUUCCUUCCGAUAAUAAUAUAUAGAACCGUGAUAUGUUUGUAUGUUUUUCAAAUUUUAAUUAGAAACAAAAACUAAUCAAUUAGUAGAAUAUUUGCAUAAUUUUAUUUAUUUUCAUCAAUAAAUACGAUCCUGAGUUUGCCAAACAAUAUUAGCAUUCUCACUAUGCUUAGCUUGUUCUAUUUUACAUAUUAUCUUCUGUUUUCUUGUGCUGAUAAGAGGAUUAGUCUUCAGAAAAAUCACUAGAAUAAAAUACCUGCUUUCAAUGCUUUAAUACUCGGAGAAGAAGACAAAUUAAUUAGAACAAGAUGAUAGUUUGUUUUUAUAUUUGGUUGUUGAGUUCUGCUAGUUCCUUGUUCGUUCGAUAAUAUGAUAUAUAGAACCAUGACUUGUUUGUAUGUUUUUCAAAUUUUAAUCAGAAAUAAAAACUAAGCAAUUAGUAGAAUAUCUACAUAAUUUCGUCAAUAAAUACGAUCCUGAGUUUGCCAAACAAUAUUAGCAUUCUCACUGUUUUAUUCUAUGUAUUAUUUUCUAUUUUCUUGUACUGAUAAGAGAAUUAGUUUUCUUGUAUUAAUCAGUAGAAAAAUCAUUAGUAGUCCAGUGUCUUUAUCUCUAUGAUUCUGCUGGUGUUUUAUGCAGCAUCCUUCAAAAUAAAAGCAACCAGAUUUCAUAAAGAUUUUUAUAAAAUUAAAGGCAUUGGUUGGUAUUUUUUUCACUUUUAUUUUCAAUAAUACUUUGUUUUUUUAAAAAAUUUCAUUGGAUUUAUUUUAUUAAACAUUUCAGGAAAAGGGGCAUAUGGAACAGUUUUUUCAUGCAUGCAUAAGUUGGAUGGACAAGCAUAUGCUGUAAAAGUUGUAAAAUUUAAUAGACAUAAUGAUCAAGAUAAGGUGUUAAGAGAAGUAAAAGCCUUGGCUAAAUGCAACCACAGCAACGUGGUAAGAUAUUUCAAUACAUGGAUUGAAUGGAUGGUGGUACAGUCUUCUGAUGAAGAUAAAGAUUAUGAUAAAGGAGGUAAUGAUGGUGCUUUUUCUAAAAGUUUGGAUGCUAUGCUUUCCAUACAGAUGAAACAUUAUCAUCAGUAAGUAAAUUUUUAAUACUUAAACCGUUAAAUUUUGUUUUAGAACCGUGGUUCUUUAUUUUAAAAAACUUACUCUUCCAUAGGAAUCUUGACAAUGUACUGGAGCAAUCAACCAUAACUGAGAAUACAGCUCUGAAGUACUUUCAAGGGAUGGUGAAAGGUCUGGACCACAUACAUGGGAAGAAAAUAAUCCAUGGGGAUCUGUCAAGGAAAAACAUCUUCAUUGACGCUAACAACGUGAUCAAGGUGGCUGACUUCGGCUUAGGUAUAGGUUUCCUUUUCAAGUUAAUAAAUUUUUAGGUUUAGAUUCAUUGUUACCUUUUAACUAAAAAACUUUUGUUUGCAGCCAAACUAUUGGGCAAUUCUGCUACUGCUAUUAAAUCUGGAAGUUCCGGCACAAAGUCUUAUCUUGCUCCAGAAACAGAAAAGGGGGCUCCCAUCGACCAAAAAGUGGACAUAUAUAGUCUUGGUAUCCUGUUUUUGGAGUUGCUCGGGAGCUUCACCACGAUGUCUGCGCGGGCCCAUGCCAUUAACAAUCUGCGAGAAAUGAGAGUGUUGCCUGAGAGCAUAUCCACAUAUGAAGAUUACAUCUUACAAUUGGUGGCAUUUUCUCCCGAAGAGAGGCCAUCGACUCAAGAGAUUCUCACAUGGCCAACAUGGGCUGAUGUUUCAUCUUCAGAGGCAGAGAAUGAUGACAGAGUCCCGAUACGGACUGGUGAUGACCACCAAGCAGCAGAUGAUGACAUGCCAAAGUUGGAAGAUGAUGAUGAUGAGAUGCCGAAGUUGGAAGAUGUUGAUGAUGAGAUGCCAAAUUUGGAAGAUGAUAAUAAGGUUAGGGUAUUAAGAAGAUUGAACUGUAUAUUUUGUUUGACACUAUUGAUUCCUCUUCUAAAUUAAUUAAUUUUUUUUUUGUUUCGAUUGCAGAAUCUGGAAGUCGAGAUCUAAUUGAUCAGGACAAAGACAGACUUGUCAUAUCUUUUACUAUACAUAUACAGACUUGUAUGUUUGUAUGGAGAAUCCUUUUGAUCUGGUAUCCAUUGUUUGGUGAAUAAUGAAUGCCUGUGAGUGUACAGUGACAUAUUCAUAGGUUUAAGUCUUUAGCAUAUGUUUUGAACUCUAGUGAGGUGAUUUGGAAGGAUCAAAUGUCUUGAUGGUGAACUUUCAAUUGUUGAUUGAGAACAAUGGUACGGUAGAGAAUGUGAACUUCCAAUUAUUGAUUGAAGAACAAUGGUACGAUACAGAACGCAGCCACGAAACCAAUGGUGGUUUGCGUGUAACAUUAUCAGAUUUAGCAACCUGUCGCUUAGGACCGCAGUCUGUCCUCCAUUCGAGAACAACAACUUCAAGUCUGGUAAUACCCGGAACCAAGAAAAUGACAACACCAUCAAUGCUUAAAGGUCAGAACAUGGCUUGCAAAGCGAAGCAGCUUAACAAAUGUUCCAAAUAGAGAUCAGACACGAAGUAACAUGGAAAAUGUAACAAAAAGAUCAUUGAUUUCAAGUUAACUGAGACAAAAUAUGGAGAAAGCAAGUAAAAUAAGGAAAACCAUCUUGGAAAAAGGAGGGGAAGGAAGAAAAACUUGUUGCCUUGGUGAUUCUUAAUUUGAGAAAUGAGAACUCUAAAAUUGUUACAAGACAAAAACCCAUUAAGUAUCUUCUCUCUGCCCUGGGAAAAAGAAGUUGGAAUUCAAGUUCAAGAAGCUGUGUGGCUGUAAUGGACUGGUUGUUGCCUUGAAAUUCAGAAACCCUUACAAUCCAACUGCCAACGAAGGAGAUCAAGAAUCCUUUUAAUCUCGUAAAAUUGUUGGUUUGAUUCUACUGGACCAAGAACCAAUCUUGUAAAACCCUGACCCACUCCUCCACACACACACACACACACACACACACAAAUUAACUGAAUAACCAAAACUUCUACAGCUUGAAUUGUAGGAGACUACGGUAGAUAAUAAUGUUCCAUCAAUAGCAUAAAUGGUAUUAAAAGAAAACGAGGAUACAGAAAAAUAUCAUCUAGUGAGACAAAAGAAGUGGGCUGGCUACUCAUGGCUGGCUCAAACUGCAAUCCAAUUGACCAAAAUCUUUCAAAUUCACCAGGCAUGGUGUGUAUGGAAAGACCGAGAUCUGCCCCUUCAUUAUUUGCCUGUCUUUCUUUGUUCUAUAAAUCAAUUCCACCCUUCUGUCUUCGGGAUGAUAACUGAGCAUAGCACCCCGAGUCCCAAGGAAGAUAACUUCAGAAGUUGGAUGCAAAGCAAAGGGCCUCAAAGCUGAAAUUUUACCAAAUCUGGCAAUAGUAAUCCUAUCCAGCCGAUGCACGUGUUUUCCCAAAAAAUCAACUUUGAUGUUGUGAAUCAGAGUCCAUCUGCCAUUCUUGCAACGAUCCUCAAGCAACCAAAAGUGUAAUGCAGUUCCAACAAGAUCGGAAUAACAUAAAUGGCGCCUCGACAGCCCAAUGCAUCCAUAAUCAUUGGGAGCAAGUCUCUCCUUCUCUGGAAGCUCAAUGGCACGAGAAUUUCCUCUGUUAAGAUCAAAACAUAAAAGUCGUUUUGAGUCAAUCUGUUUUGAGUCAAUCUGUUUUGAGGCAGUUUGACGGUACAACACUCCAUCCAAGUAAAUACAAUGCUUGGCCAAUCUAGACUUCUUAGAUCCAUAUCCAAAAGCGGUUUCUUGGAUAGUCCAACUGCCAGUCUCUGAUGAGAACACGCGUAAUUUUUGGGGGGGCUUGAGCUUUGAAUAAUCAAAGCAAACAACUCUGUAGUGAGGUGAUUUGAAAGGAUCAAAUGCCAGGGAUGCAGUACAUAUGUUUUCGAGCGUAAAAUCUCUAGGAAUCGCCACACACUGUUUUGUCACAGGAUUGCACACAUAGUAGCGCGGAAUAGGACCCUCAACAAACAAAAGCAAACCAUUGCA